GCGGGUGGUAAACUCCAUCUAAGGCUAAAUAUGACCACGAGACCGAUAGCGAACAAGUACCGUGAGGGAAAGUUGAAAAGCACUUUGAAGAGAGAGUUCAAGAGUACGUGAAACCGUUCAGGGGUAAACCUGAGAAGCCCGAAAGGUCGAAAGGGGAAAUUCAUUCGCGUUUCGGCCGUCGGCGUGGGACGGUCGAGUGACGGACGUCGCACGCGGCGUCCGCGCCUUUCGUCUUUCGAACCGGCGUCGAACGCGUGCACUUUUCCCCUAGUAGGACGUCGCGAUCCGUUGGGUGUCGGUCUACGACCCGCGGUGGAGCCCGUGCGGACGCCUCCCGGCGUAUCGCUCGGACCCGCGGUGUUCCGGCCGACCCGCUCGACGGUAUACAGAUGGCGCGGGGCCGCUACACAAACAGUUAGCGUUCGGCCCGCGGCAAGCGCGUUCGGCGUUUGACGGCGAUCGGACCCGGUGCCGGUCCUGUCCCCGAACGACUGUUGGCCGCGGUGCUCUCGAACAGACCUCGUCUCGAAACGCCGAUCUGCGACGCUAUAGCUU
rnacentral:rRNA from 1 species